UCCCUGGUGGCUCAGAUAGUAAAGAAUCUGCCUGCAAUACAGGAGACCCAGGUUCAAUCCCUGAGUCAGGGAA
rnacentral:tRNA from 1 species